UGGGGAAUAUUGCACAAUGGGGGAAACCCUGAUGCAGCGACGCCGCGUGAGCGAAGAAGGCCUUCGGGUCGUAAAGCUCUUUUAUAUGGGAAGAUAAUGACGGUACCAUAAGAAAAAGCCCCGGCUAACUACGUGCCAGCAGCCGCGGUAAUACGUAGGGGGCUAGCGUUGUCCGGAAUCACUGGGCGUAAAGGGUUCGCAGGCGGCAAUGCAAGUCAGAUGUAAAAGGCAAAGGCUCAACCUUUGUAAGCAUCUGAAACUGUAUAGCUUGAGAAGUGUAGAGGCAAGUGGAAUUUUUAGUGUAGCGGUGAGAUGCGUAGAUAUUAAAAAGAAUACCGGUGGCGAAGGCGACUUACUGGGCUCAUUCUGACGCUGAGGAACGAAAGCGUGGGUAGCAAACAGG
rnacentral:rRNA from 1 species